rnacentral:rRNA from 1 species
UACAGAGGGGGCAAGCGUUGUUCGGAAUUACUGGGCGUAAAGGGCGCGUAGGCGGCCGCCUAAGUCAGACGUGAAAUCCCUCAGCUUAACUGGGGAACUGCGUCUGAUACUGGCGAGCUUGAGUGCAGGAGAGGAACGCGGAAUUCCAGGUGUAGCGGUGAAAUGCGUAGAUAUCUGGAGGAACACCGGUGGCGAAGGCGGCGUUCUGGACUGCAACUGACACUGAUGAACGAAAGCCAGGGGAGCAAACGGG